UAAUAAAUUAAUAAUUAAUUCCAUAUGGUAACAUUAAUAAUUCCAUAUGGUACCCAUUCCUUUUCAAAAUCCAGCAACCAUGACUACGCUUUUUGACUUCCACCACUAAAUUUAUCUAGAACAAACGGACUUUCUACUUCUGACAAUGACAGUCCCAUUUGUUUAAUUUCAUUCUGGUGUUCCCUUUCGUAAAUUGAUUGUAUAAACUCUUCUAAACAAAAUUCUUUAAAUACAAAGUUUUUAUUCUCAUCUAUAUACAUUUCUGCAAUAUCUGCUGGUAGAGUUACUUCGAUAUUUCUGUAUUGAUUUUCUUUGGUCAUGCUUUAUGACUGCCUCCAACUCAAACAUCUCUUUAUGAUGGGAACCGUACAUGAUGAGAAACUCAUACGGAGAAUCCUCAUCUACUGAUUAAUAGAUUUUGGUUGGUAAAUUCCCAUAUUCAUCUUUAACCUUUUUAAGGUGAACUCUCACUUUUAGGCCAUACCCUAACAUGAUCCGGUCGACGAUUCUCAAAAAUUUAGCCAUUGCGUUGGCUAAGCCGUGGAUGCAGAAAAAUUCGCUAACGAACGUCUUCCGAGGAAUCUAAUAGCGAUGAUAGGUGAACAGCUAGGCAACAAGCUAAAAAGACAGGCAGCAUCUUCUGACAAUAGUACAACCAU